ACUUAUAAUGCUACUUGUUUUUGUGUAAAACUAAAAAGAACCCUUACGUAAACCGGAAGUGACGUAAAUAAAGUAAAAGUUGAAAGGAUCUGGCGCGACGUUAUUCGAAGCCUCAAUACAUUAGUUACGUUCAUAGAAGUUAGCCACGCCUAUUUAGCGCUCUCCAAACUAUCGUUUUUCUUCGCUAUACCUAUUUAGUGACAGAACAGCUGUAUUUUGAGGUCCGGUGACGUCAACACACGCCUCUAUAUCGACCUGAAACAAUUAAUUACUACUAAACACUGACAACAAGUCACCAUGGCAGUCCCUCCAUCGUCUACAAACGUUUUCCAAAUGAUGAAAGACGUCUUCAACAAGGCAAACGGUUAUGGAAUUCUGAACACUGAUGUGAAGACGAAGACCUUGGAAGGAGCGGAGUUUAAAAUGCCUGGUUCAUCCAACAUGGACACAAACAGAACCACUGGAACCCAAGAAACUGUGUUCAAGGCCGGAUUCAGCACCCAGACC
ensembl:lncRNA